CGAAGCCCACCACCACAUGUCGAGGUCCAACCCAGCCCAGCACACAGGACGCACCAAUCCAAAACCACUUUCCCUUUCACUGGUCCUUGGCCCUCCCCACGCCGCGUCGCCGUCUCCGCCGCACCGCCGCCGUCCCGCUCCUUCUCCUCCGCCGGAUCCACCGGAGCACGCCUCGAAGAGGAGCAAAUCUCUGUACGCCUCUCUGCUGGAUCUGUAUCGGCUCCCGGGACUGCUCCUCCCUCUGUCGCAGCGCCGAGUUGCCGGAGCAGAUGGUGGGAUUCGGUAGCCUUGCUCCCAAGACCAAGAACCUGGUGGUGGGCGGUGGGUUGACGGGGUUCGUCUUUGGGGUGUACUAUUACACCAUGAGAGCAGUCGGCAGCACUGAUGAGCUGCAGGUCGCCAUCGACAAGUUUGAAGACCUGAAGAAGAAGGACGCCGACGCCACCCCCGCUGCAAACCCCUCCACCCCAGGCUCAUCGUAGGAAAAACAUGCUCUGAAACUUUUGUUUACCCGUACCGAGCUUCUAAACUAGUUACCUCACAACCAGAACCCAGAACCAUGGUUUGGUUUCUGUGAUGAUAAUAGGUCAUGUUAGAUAGAGCUUUUUAUGGCAUGGGUGGAGUCCAGAAUUAGUAGUGCUUUAGUGUUUAUGGUGACCGCGGUGCCUGGAAGUUUGAUAUACUAGUACUGGAGUAGAUUUUUUGGAGGCACGUUAUUGCAGUUUGUUGCUAUUAUAUAUUCAUUCCGUUCUUGAUCACCAAGAACUUUGCAGGAACUCCCUGAUCAACCUCAGACCACACUUGCACGGGAGCAAGCAUCGGAUAGAAAAGUGUUCCACCUCCAUGAAACAAAGCUCGCCACGUGCAAAGAAGUCUUUUGGAGAUCCAUUUCCUCUCCAAC
rnacentral:rRNA from 1 species